rnacentral:tRNA from 1 species
GGCGGCGUAGCUCAGCUGGCGAGAGCGUACGGUUCAUACCCGUAAGGUCGGGGGUUCGAACCCCUCUGCCGCUA